rnacentral:RNase_P_RNA from 1 species
UUGAAAAGUCGAAGUAACGCCCGCCAAUAUGGCGGGAGGAAAGUCCGGACAGCAGGAAGUAGGGUGGCUUCUGAAAGGGAGCACUCCAAACGCCUGGUCGUUUGGGGCUAGAUAGGGCCACAGAGACGAGUCCCGAUGUUACGUCGGGAAGUGAAACGAGGCAACCCUCCCCGCUGCAACCUCCGACUGAGACGUUUGAGGCGCUUCCCCGAGUCUCGAAGUUUGAGGGCCUAGAUAGAUGUUACUUUAGAAACAGAAUCCGGCUUACGAGCUUUUUAAAAAC